AACGCACGAGACCUGCGGACCUGCGGAAGGAUCAUUAUAGAGUUUUCUAAACUCCCAACCCAUGUGAACUUACCUUUUGUUGCCUCGGCAGAAGUUAUAGGUCUUCUUAUAGCUGCUGCCGGUGGACCAUUAAACUCUUGUUAUUUUAUGUAAUCUGAGCGUCUUAUUUUAAUAAGUCAAAACUUUUAACAACGGAUCUCU
rnacentral:misc_RNA from 1 species